UACUAUAAUUGAAAACACUUUAGGGAACUGAAUAUGAGAUUUAAUAACACAUACAGUAAGUGCUGAAUGCCCAAACAUUUUUAUCAAGGAAAAAGUGGAAUUUGGAAAAACAGCCACAAAAUCCCCCCUUAGCGUGAAAUUUGAAAUUUCAGCCAUUUUCAAACACGUACACUACUAUUUUACUUAAUAGUAUUCAUGUCUGGCGUAAAUUAGAUGGCCUUUAAAAGCAAGAACCAUGUCUCAGAUAUUUUUGCAUGCCAAAUAGUGUCCAACAUGUACACAAAGAGCCUUUUUUUAAAUCAUACCUCUCCUCUGGUCUUAUCAAAACUACUCUUAAAUGACGUAA
rnacentral:lncRNA from 1 species